AUUGAACGCUGGCGGCAGGCCUAACACAUGCAAGUCGAACGAGUGGCGGACGGGUGAGUAAUGUCUGGGAAACUGCCUGAUGGCGGGGGAUAACUACUGGAAACGGUAGCUAAUACCGCAUACCAUCGGAUGUGCCCAGAUGGGAGUGGCUAGUAGGUGGGGUAAAGGCGCACCUAGGCGCCGAUCCCUAGCUGGUCUGAGAGGCUGACCAGCCACACUGGAACUGAGCCACGGUCCAGACUCCUACGUGAGUCAGCAGUGGGGAAUAUUGCACAAUGGGCGCAAGCCUGAUGCAGCCCGGCCGCGUGUAUGAAGAAGGCCUUCGGGUUGUAAAGUACUUUCAGCGGGGAGGCGUUACCCGCAGAAGAAGCACCGGCUAACUCCGUGCCAGCAGCCGCGGUAAUUC
rnacentral:rRNA from 1 species